rnacentral:rRNA from 1 species
CNNNUNNCGGNNGCUACACAUGCAGUCGAACGGAUUAAAAGAGCUUGCUUUUUUGAUUAGUGGCGCACGGGUGAGUAAUAUAUAGCUAACCUGCCCUUUAGUGGGGGACAACAGUUGGAAACGACUGCUAAUACCCUAUACUCCUUCUUACUAUAAGGUAAGUCGGGAAAGAUUUAUCGCUAAAGGAUGGGGCUUUAUUGUAUCAGCUAGUUGGUGAGGUAAUGGCUCACCAAGGCUAUGACGCAUACCUGGUCUGAGAGGAUGAUCAGGCACACUGGAACUGAGACACGGUCCAGACUCCUACGGGAGGCAGCAGUGGGGAAUAUUGCACAAUGGACGCAAGUCUGAUGCAGCAACGCCGCGUGGAGGAUGACGCAUUUCGGUGUGUAAACUCCUUUUAUAGGGGAAGAUAAUGACGGUACCCUAUGAAUAAGCACCGGCUAACUCCGUGCCAGCAGCCGCGGUAAUACGGAGGGUGCAAGCGUUACUCGGAAUCACUGGGCGUAAAGGAUGCGUAGGCUGGAAAUCAAGUCGAAAGUGAAAUCCAACGGCUCAACCGUUGAACUGCUUUCGAAACUGGUUACCUAGAAUAUGGGAGAGGUAGAUGGAAUUAGUGGUGUAGGGGGUAAAAUCCGUAGAUAUCACUAGGAAUACCGAUUGCGAAGGCGAUCUACUGGAACAUUAUUGACGCUGAGGCAUGAAAGCGUGGGGAGCAAACAGGAUUAGAUACCCUGGUAGUCCACGCCCUAAACGAUGCACACUAGUUGUUGCCCUGCUAGUCAGGCAGUAAUGCACUUAACAGAUUAAGUGUGCCGCCUGGGGAGUACGGUCGCAAGAUUAAAACUCAAAGGAAUAGACGGGGACCCGCACAAGCGGUGGAGCAUGUGGUUUAAUUCGAAGAUACACGAAGAACCUUACCUGGCCUUGAUAUCCUAGAUCCUGUAGAGAUA